UCGGGAGUAGCCAAGACGGUAAGGCGGCGGACUUUGAAUCCGUCCAUGCGCUGGUUCGAUUCCGGCCUCCCGAA
rnacentral:tRNA from 1 species